UACGUUCCCGGGCCUUGUACACACCGCCCGUCACGUCAUGAAAGUCGGUAACACCCGAAGCCGGUGGCCCAACCCGUAAGGGAGGGAGCCGUCGAAGGUGGGACUGGCGAUUAGGACG
rnacentral:rRNA from 1 species